rnacentral:rRNA from 1 species
UACGAAGGGUGCAAGCGUUACUCGGAAUUACUGGGCGUAAAGCGUGCGUAGGUGGUUUGUUAAGUCUGAUGUGAAAGCCCUGGGCUCAACCUGGGAAUUGCAUUGGAUACUGGCAGGCUAGAGUGCGGUAGAGGGUAGUGGAAUUCCCGGUGUAGCAGUGAAAUGCGUAGAUAUCAGGAGGAACACCGGUGGUGUAGACGGCUUACUGGACCAUAACUGACGCUGAGACACGAAAGCGUGGGUAGCAAACAGG